GUGAGAAUCUGCAUUUGAGAAAUGCACACAGUCACAGAAAGAUCCAACAACACAUCCUUUGCCUAGGAAGGGGAAUAUUAUUUUUUAACCCUUAGUGAGUAAAAGGCACAGAUAAUUCAAAGAAACUAAGAAUUUUUUUUGAUUUCUUUGUCAUUCCCUGAAGAAAUUACUUCAAGAGAGCUGUUCAGCAUCAACAAAGUUUAAACUGGAGGGAAAAUGCUUUACAUACCCUCUAAAAAAACUGCUUCAAUAGUAAGUGAAUCUCAUAAUUUGAAUUAAUUUCUUUUGCAAUAAUAAAUUAUGGCUAUCCUCUUCCUGUCUUGUUGAAAGGUCUAUUAAUGAGUUUAUACAUUUCAUGCAGCUUGAAAUAUCUGUGCUACUUCCCCUAAACAAUGUAUUUGUAAGAAACACAAACAAAUUAAAAAAAAAAAAAGGAAUUGUGUGAAGAAACUGAAAGAAAUAUUUAAACAUUCAUAGAAGAGUUGUCAUCUUUUUUUAGACAAGCUACCUGUGCUUCAGAGGGCAGUUGCCUCAGUGGAGAACUGAUGAUGCUCCACUAUAAUUUCCUUCCUCAGCAUCUUUUGGCUGCAAGUGAAUGCUUCACAAAAACCCUGCCAGCUGCUGCAGAAGCCUGGCCAAAAGCUGCUAAGUCUUAGACAACACAAGUUCUGCAACCAUCUUCCUUCCAGCCUCACAUUUUGGGAUGGCAGCCAGAGAAGUUACCUCUUGUGGAGGAAUCUUACAGGUAACUGUCCUAAGAUCAACCUUGAUAAAUGUAUCUGUACAUGGAAGUACAAGGAUCAUUCCUGAAAAAUAAAAAUUAUUAGAUGAAACACCUCUGAAACUGAAA